rnacentral:antisense_RNA from 1 species
CGCCCUGGUCGGGCGGCGCGGGAAGCCGAAAGGCUUGCCGCAUGCUCCAUGCGGUCUUCCAACCUGCGUCGUCCGGCCACCAGU